rnacentral:rRNA from 1 species
UACGUAGGGCGCGAGCGUUGUCCGGAAUUAUUGGGCGUAAAGAGCUCGUAGGCGGUUUGUCGCGUCGGCUGUGAAAGCCCGGAGCUCAACUCCGGGUCUGCAGUCGAUACGGGGCAGACUUGAGUGUUGCAGGGGGAGACUGGAAUUCCUGGUGUAGCGGUGAAAAUGCGCAGAUAUCAGGAGGAACACCGGUGGCGAAGGCGGGGUCUCUGGGCAGUAA